rnacentral:rRNA from 1 species
UUGGAACAGGACGUCAUAGAGGGUGAGAAUCCCGUAUGUGACCGGCCGCCACGCCCGUGUGAAGCUCCUUCGACGAGUCGAGUUGUUUGGGAAUGCAGCUCAAAAUGGGUGGUAAAUUUCAUCUAAAGCUAAAUAUUGGCCAGAGACCGAUAGCGCACAAGUAGAGUGAUCGAAAGAUGAAAAGCACUUUGGAAAGAGAGUCAAACAGUACGUGAAAUUGUUGAAAGGGAAGCGCUUGCAACCAGACUUGCCCGCGGGCGAUCAGCCGGUAUUCUUACCGGUGCACUCACCCGCGGUCAGGCCAGCAUCGGUUCGGGCGGCCGGACAAAGUCCGCUGGAAUGUAGCUCCUCUUGGGGAGUGUUAUAGCCAGCGGUGCCAUGCAGCCCGCCCGGACCGAGGACCGCGCUUCGGCUAGGAUGCUGGCGUAAUGGUUGUAAGCGACCCGUCUUGAAACACGGACCAAGGAGUCUAACAUCUAUGCGAGUGUUUGGGUGUCAAACCCAUGCGCGUAAUGAAAGUGAACGGAGGUGGGAACCCUCAAGGGUGCACCAUCGACCGAUCCUGAUGUCUUCGGAUGGAUUUGAGUAAGAGCAUAGCUGUUGGGACCCGAAAGAUGGUGAACUAUGCCUGAAUAGGGUGAAGCCAGAGGAAACUCUGGUGGAGGCUCGCAGCGGUUCUGACGUGCAAAUCGAUCGUCAAA